AUAAUCAAUUCUAGAUAUCCAGGUGAAAGAACUGGAGAAGCGUGCCUCAGGCCAGGCUUUUGAGCUGAUUCUCAGCCCUCGGUCAAAAGAAUCUGUUCCAGAAUUCCCCCUUUCCCCUCCAAAGAAGAAGGAUCUUUCCCUGGAGGAAAUUCAGAAGAAAUUAGAAGCUGCAGAAGAAAGACGCAAUCCCAUGAAGCUGAGGUCUUGAAGCAGCUGGCUGAGAAACGAGAGCACGAGAAAGAAGUGCUUCAGAAGGCAAUAGAAGAGAACAACAACUUCAGUAAAAUGGCAGAAGAGAAACUGACCCACAAAAUGGAAGCUAAUAAAGAGAACCGAGAGGCACAAAUGGCUGCCAAACUGGAACGUUUGCGAGAGAAGAUAAGCACAUUGAAGAAGUGCGGAAGAACAAAGAAUCCAAAGACCCUGCUGACGAGACUGAAGCUGA
rnacentral:lncRNA from 1 species